UGACCAACCUGCCUCGCUCUCCGGGAUAACCUCUGGAAACGGCGGCUAAUACCGGGUACUCCGCGCACGGGGCAUCCCGCGCGCGGGAAAGCGCAUGCGGAGCGAGAUGGGGUCGCGGCCCAUUAGGUAGACGGCGGGGUGACGGCCCACCGUGCUCGCGAUGGGUAGCCGGACUGAGAGGUCGAUCGGCCACGUUGGGACUGAGAUACGGCCCAGACCUCCUACGGGAGGCAG
rnacentral:rRNA from 1 species